CCCAGCUUCUGCUCAACAUCAUCGUCAGCCGCUUGGUUCGGAGAUUCUGGCCAGUGCACAAGAGGGAUGGUCUUGGCCCGAAUCAAACCUGAAAUGGUGCUAAUGUACAAGACAGCCAGACUUCUAGUACGCAAUGGAGGAGCUGCAGGAGCCCUUCAGCGAUUACAGGACACCACAGAUGGCAUCUGCACCAUGGGGAUGCUGCUGCUUUUUUUGCUGGCAAAAGCUUUGGAAACCUAAAGCAGGAGUCCUAAGAAAAUUCCUGUACUCACAAGGUAAAAGAGUAAAUUUCUUUUAUUGCUGACCAGUGUUCUAUGUUUGUAUGUGUGCACUCGUGGCUUGACUGCUGGUAGGGUGUGUGCAGCUCUGGUUAGGAAUGUCAUUGCAAGGGUGAGGGGUCCAAGACAGUUUUGCCUAAAAGGUGAUCUGUGCUGGGAAAGAAUCUGAGAACCGCUGAUAUACUAUAUUAUCCCAGGACUUGC
rnacentral:lncRNA from 1 species